rnacentral:rRNA from 1 species
AUUGAACGCUGGCGGCAUGCCUUACACAUGCAAGUCGAACGGUAACGGGCCUUCGGGUGCCGACGAGUGGCGAACGGGUGAGUAAUGUAUCGGAACGUACCUUUCAGUGGGGGAUAACGUAGCGAAAGUUACGCCAAUACCGCAUAUUCUGUGAGCAGGUAAGCAGGGGAUCGCAAGACCUUGCGCUGAUUGAGCGGCCGAUAUCAGAUUAGCUAGUUGGUGAGGUAAAGGCUCACCAAGGCGACGAUCUGUAGCGGGUCUGAGAGGAUGAUCAGCCACACUGGAACUGAGACACGGUCCAGACUCCUACGGGAGGCAGCAGUGGGGAAUUUUGGACAAUGGGGGCAACCCUGAUCCAGCCAUUCCGCGUGAGUGAAGAAGGCCUUCGGGUUGUAAGGCUCUUUCGGCAGGAACGAAACGGUGGGGGCUAAUACCUCCUGCUAAUGACGGUACCUGAAGAAGAAGCACCGGCUAACUACGUGCCAGCAGCCGCAGUAAUAC